GCCAAAAGUUAGACCACCCCUCAGGUGCACAACUCUAAAUUCACUCCUGCUUGUAUACCGCUAAAAGUCAUUCAUCAUUUGUUUUUGUGUCAUAGAAAAACAAUUCCCGUUUGGCUCUUUCAGACAACGCACCAGUGAGAAAGAAGAACACAAAGGCAAGUGAAAAUCAAGAAAAGGUACGGCGGCCCUUCCGCUUCCAAAAGCAGCCGUAACUGUCUCGGAUAAAUAAAUAGAUAGCAUGAAAAGGAAGCAUUAUCCGUCACACAGCGCUGAUACAGUCUAGCUUUGUAUUUAUUGCCCACUUAAUGGACUUGAUUGCAUUACUGCCGGUAAAGAAGGGAAAGAAAUCCGCUGGCGGUGAGAAGGUACUCUCACCACCUCGCAAUUACCUUAUGUAAAUCCUGUCCUGGAAUGUUGAUCCACUGCUAUUUAAAAUGCAUUGGAUUUCCAUGGAAAAUGAUCCACUCCUGCCGCCUGAAGCUCAUUAAUAACAUCGACGAGCCGGCCUGACAUUUGGAAUACUUACAUGCGCCGGCGUGUCUGCAACAAUGCGGCCUGUACGGUAGUUUGCCAUGCGCUCGAGCCUGACGGGAACAUUGGGAAGAAAUAUGGCAGCAAUAAGUUACUUGGGGAGCAGGAAUGGACAAAUAAGUGACGUGGUCCUUGAUAUGUGACCCUCAAAGUGACUUGAAGUCAUUAAGCGGUAGUUUACCUGUCUUGAAUCGGCCGGCCGAGUAUAACGUGCCUCUUGCGUUUUCAGAAUUUUUUUAGAGUCAAGCACCCUGAAUAAGCCGCAGUUCUGAGUCAUCCUUUAAAAGGUAGCGGUGAAGGUAUCGAGCUCUUAAUCGCCCAGCGGUUAAAAACAUUUUGUCUCUUCACACAGCCACUUUGGGGAGUGCCCACCUGCAAAUAAGGCAGGAGGGACGUGGGGGGAAAUCACCGCGGCCAUUAAUCUUUCAUGUUCCAUAAUGGCAUGUUCGCAUUACCUGCCCGCACCUCCGAGCCAGCGUCCAGAUCGGGCCGGGAAACUACCGUGAGCAUAUGGAGCACUUCAAACACUCUCAGCCCAGACUGCGGUCGCGCCCAUGAAUUAUAGAAAUGAUCUAAUUGUUUUCUCAUUUGGAAAUUGUGAGGGGCCCUCCUUUUUGGAACCACGGCACGAAACGCAGCGCCGCCAACCUCCGACACAUUUGUUGAUUCUAAAGCAGGCUGUCCAGUUAAAACAGAGCCAGACCUGAAAUUUGGGUUCAGGGGAUUGAAGAGGGACUUUAAAGAGCAACGGCGCUGAUCGGAAGGCACCGGUGGUUUGGACGCACCAAUGCGGCUUUUGGCAGACGUUCGGUUGUGGCUCAUCAAACAUUCAGCAGCGGCUCGCUCCUGCAGGAAAAGAAAACGUAAAAAAAGCGGCGAUAAGCCAUACUUGUGCCUAGUAAAGUUACGGGCGGAGAGCGGCGAAAAGAAUAACAGAAAGGUAAAUAAAGAUUUAAAGAUGCCGGGUUUAAGAAAUGCCAAGUCUGUGUAAUUUUGAACAGAGAGUGCCACCUAGAGGAGUCACAAAAAAUAGUGGUUCAUGAAGCAAUUCUGAAGCUUCAUUUUCCCAUCACUACAAAUAAUGUUUAUAAUUGUUCCGUUGGCCGCAUUUUUCUGCAUUCCGACUCGUGCAAAACAUCUCUCCUCACCUCCACCCCACUUUGUCUCAUUAGCAGUUAGCUAGGGAAUGAUAACGGAGCAUGUUUUCCCCUGGUACCGCCUCCCCCCACUGAGGCGCUAAUUAGGACAUGUCUUCAACAGCGCCGUCUGAUUGGAGGUAAAAGGCCGAGCAUAAUUACACAGACCGCCCCAAUGUUGUCGGUCUGGAGAGAAAAAGGCUGGGCCCCCUAAACACAUCAUGCCACAAUUCAAUUAAAGGUUUUAAUUAAAGUCCUGACACAUGGACGUCUUGGAUGAGAGUUGUGAUUUGAAAUCAAUGCAAGUUUUCUUUCUCCUCGCCGCAGGUAAACCUUUUGAGAGGGCGAACUCGACUGCUUCGCCAGCGCUCAAAUAAGCUCAUUGGAUUUGCUCCCGUGCCAACAUCUUACUUAAUUAGCCGGCACACUUUUAUGGGCAUAAAUCGCUUUUACAUCACUGCCAACGGAGCGCACCGCAAAGUGGGUCGAUCAUAUAUUAUGUUGAUCUUCCUUGGCGCACUUCAAGCCAUACAUUACAUUUGAAUUUGUCGAAGACGCCGGAGGGCCGCUGGCAUCCUUCUUCUUUGUUGUGCUGUCAGCGCUAAUCUCUCCCCAGGGGUCUCGGCAGCAGCUCUCGCCUUCUUUCUUGUUGCUGCCCCCAGACUGCAUGAGCAAAAGGACGCGGGGAUUGAGUCGAGCCAGGAGGGCACCCACACGUUUCUCCCGUCGCCCCUCCCCUGCCGAUAAACCUGCCUCCCACCUUCCGCUACCUCCAGGCCUCCACUUGGAGCGGUUGUGGUGUAGCAUUUAACAGGUUUACUCGAACUCAUUGGGAUGACAUGAAAAAAUACAGUGAGCCCCCAUCUAGGGUCUUUUUGUGGUCUGUCCAAAGUAUUAAAAGGGAACAAGACUCCUUGUGUAAGCUGAGGAUUGAUGACACGGUGCUAAACCUCAGCUUGCUGAAAUGUUGUUCAAAGUACAGUGAUGGGGACUCGCAAGUAAUUGUAGCGCUUCCUAAAAAAUGUUUUGGGGCAGUAAAUCACUAGUUUUGUCUAAAUACAACCCAACUCACUUUGUCAUUGGUCCUAUUGUAUAUUAUAUAUAUUGUCUAUAAAUAAAAAUAGAUUAAAUGUUAAGAAUUCAAUGUUCGGUGUCGGCGCUUCACCUUGUCAUGUUUGUGUUGUUCCACUAGGGGGUAGUAAAGAGCACUUCCAUCAUAACUUAGGCCAGGCUGCUUAUUUUUCUUCGGAUUAUCCUCCCCUUGCAUCCUCCUACCUCCGUCUUCCACCUCCACUCAAGAACACAACACGUUGUACUUCUUGGCAAAUGUAUUUCAAAAACACAAUUUUCUUUGCCACCUUUCCUCUCCACUGGUGCAUUAGCAUGGAAGUCACCCAGGUGAUUCAUGUGUUGCCAAUUUCUUUGUUCUUUGCCUUCUUUUUUUUUGCAUGCCACCUCACCCCUGUCGCCCAGGCUAAGCUUUGUGCGAUGCAGAAGGAGGGGGUGGCGAUUAAGGCGAAGAGAGGCGGAGGAGUGGUUGACCGAGUAGACCCCAGGGUGGUGGGGGCGGCUAGCGUUCGCAGCCCCCCUGGUCCCCCUUGAUGAUGAGGUGGAGCCUAAUUGAUUUGUCAAUGUGGAACCAUCUGGCACGGAAAGAUGGGCCUGCAACCUGUUCUCCUCCCUGUGCUGGAUGAGAAACUAAAAGUUCCUCUCAGUUGAAUGAUGACAAAGGGCAGCAGAAGGCAUGACACAGCCCAGAGGGCGCAGACCGCCGGCCACGUAGGAGACACUCGCAGCUCUGUGAGCCCCAACGCACGACCGGAGGGGGAGGAAGGGGCUGGCUGGGAUCAAAAGUUGGAUGCACAAAGUGGGUCAAGAAAUUUCCAGGACUGGUGAUAGAAAAUUUCAAACCCGGACAAUGCCCAUCUGACGAUUCUUGGACCAGAAGAAUAUCGCAGCUACUCAUCCAACCUGGGAUACAAAUUUGUCAUCCCUGAAGUCGAACGAUGGAGGCCACUAAUGUUUUCCAACAUGCAAUAGCCAACAGGGCGGAUCCAGGAUACACAGCAAAGUGCAACCAUGGGACUAGAUUCUCAUGUGAUGUCAUCAAUCAUGUAACAAGUCAUCCAGAUGUUUUCUCUUUUAAAUGCGGAGUGUACCAAGUCAUGCCACCGUAAGGAGAGAGACCCAUUUGCCAUAUUUCAGUGCCAAUACCAAUUACCUCGAAUUAUUUUCACAGGUUUUCCAAAAUCUCAAAAUGACUGAAAUGUUAAGUGGUUAGAGAAUUCUCGACAGCAUCUCAUAACAUUAACUGGGAAUUUUAUUCGUUUGUUCCCUGACGACAGGUGAGUGGCACGAAAAGAAGCUAAAAUGGGUCAAAUGAAGUAGAAUUGUCAUUUACGGGGAAUUCCACUGCAUGACCUAAACAUCGGCCUUCCUGUUCGACCCGGGUGAUGUGCGCUCAUCCCGAGGAAAGGGAAAUCCAGACUGUCCAUGCACGCCACAUUGGAGUGUGACGGAAUGUAUACAAUAUUCGGUUUUGGUGAGUGUGAUUCGGCGAGCAGCUGUUGCAGACAGAUCAGUGAUAACGCUUUUAAUAAACUCCACAGGAGUGUAUAUGUUCUACUCUCCGGUCUUUGAAAGCUCCAGGGGACAUGAUUGAUGUGCUUUUACAACAGGAGGACUCCUGCACACAUACUGUACAUUGGAGGUAACUUGGCUGAAAAGAGAAUGGAAAGAAAAACAAAGUAAGCAAGGGAGGAGGGAAGGUUAUUUUGAGGGUCUCUGAACCGUAAUCACCACCUACAUCUGCUUCCUCCCAGGUGUUGGACGUCAACAGGGAGACACGGCGCAGAAAAAGCAGAAGCUGCUCCCCAAAAGAAAUGCUCGAUUGUAAAGGUGAGGCAUCGGCACUUGUGUUGUUCAUAAUUAGACUUCAUUUCCAUAUUCUGACUAUGGAAGAAAGACAA